rnacentral:rRNA from 1 species
AAUUCGCCCUUCAGCAGCCGCGGUAAUACGUAGGUGGCAAGCGUUGUCCGGAUUUAUUGGGCGUAAAGUGAGCGCAGGCGGUUUCUUAAGUCUGAUGUGAAAGCCCCCGGCUCAACCGGGGAGGGUCAUUGGAAACUGGGAGACUUGAGUGCAGAAGAGGAGAGUGGAAUUCCAUGUGUAGCGGUGAAAUGCGUAGAUAUAUGGAGGAACAUCAGUGGCGAAGGCGGCUCUCUGGUCUGUAACUGACGCUGAGGCUCGAAAGCGUGGGGAGCAAACAGGAUUAGAUACCCUGGUAGUCCACGCCGUAAACGAUGAGUGCUAAGUGUUGGAGGGUUUCCGCCCUUCAGUGCUGCAGCUAACGCAUUAAGCACUCCGCCUGGGGAGUACGACCGCAAGGUUGAAACUCAAAGGAAUUGACGGGGGCCCGCACAAGCGGUGGUGCAUGUGGUUUAAUUCGAAGCAACGCGAAGAACCUUACCAGGUCUUGACAUCCUUUGACCACUCUAGAGAUAGAGCUUCCCCUUCGGGGGCAAAGUGACAGGUGGUGCAUGGUUGUCGUCAGCUCGUGUCGUGAGAUGUUGGGUUAAGUCCCGCAACGAGCGCAACCCUUAUUGUUAGUUGCCAUCAUUCAGUUGGGCACUCUAGCAAGACUGCCGGUGACAAACCGGAGGAAGGUGGGGAUGACGUCAAAUCAUCAUGCCCCUUAUGACCUGGGCUACACACGUGCUACAAUGGGAAGUACAACGAGUUGCGAAGUCGCGAGGCUAAGCUAAUCUCUUAAAGCUUCUCUCAGUUCGGAUUGCAGGCUGCAACUCGCCUGCAUGAAGCCGGAAUCGCUAGCAAUCGCGGAUCAGCACGCCGCGGUGAAUACGUUCCCGGGCCUUGUACACACCGCCCGUCACACCACGAGAGUUUGUAACACCCGAAGUCGGUGAGGUAACCUUUUUGGAGCCAGC